rnacentral:lncRNA from 1 species
CCCCCCCCUGACGUGUCCUGUCUCCCACCCCCCUUGAAAAAUGUUUUUUGGUCCUGUCUCCCUACACCACUCUGGGUCCCCCUAUACCCCAUCCUGACUGUGUCCUGGUGUCCCCCUACCCCUCCUGACUGUGUCCUGUCUCCCCUACCCCUCCUGACUGUGUCCUGUCUCCCUACCCCCCUUGAAAAAUUGUUUUUGUCCUGUCUCCCUCACCACUCUGGUCCCCCAUAACCCUCCUGAUGUGUCCUGUGUCCCCCUACCCCUCCUGACUGUGUCCUGUCUCCCUACCCCUUGCCCUGGGGGGGGAAAAAACUGUGUCCUGUCUCCUCCCCUCCUGACUGUGUCCUGUUCUCCCUAACCCUCCUGACUGUGUCCCCCCUACCCCUCCUGACUGUGUCCUGUCUUCCCUACCCCUCCUGACUGUGUCCUGUCUCCCCUACCCCUCCUGACGGUGUCCUGUCUCCCCUACCCCUCCUGACUGUGUCCUGUCUCCCUACCCCUCCCCUGACACCAUGUGUAGACAGUGGUCCUUCCUCUGGAAUGUAUAUAGUGCCAUGUACUUAUGAAAAAGGUCUCAUUCCCACAUAAUAAAUGUUAAUAAAUGAUGUUAAUAAAUUUAAAUGAAAACAACUGAAGCCUGGAGUUUGUGUUAUUUCUGACACGGCAGGGAUGGAUCCAGGA